rnacentral:rRNA from 1 species
AGAUUGAACGCUGGCGGCAGGCCUAACACAUGCAAGUCGAGCGGUAGAGAGGUGCUUGCAUCUCUUGAGAGCGGCGGACGGGUGAGUAAUGCCUAGGAAUCUGCCUAGUGGUGGGGGAUAACGUUCGGAAACGGACGCUAAUACCGCAUACGUCCUACGGGAGAAAGCGGGGGACCUUCGGGCCUCGCGCCAUUAGAUGAGCCUAGGUCGGAUUAGCUAGUUGGUGAGGUGAUGGCUCACCAAGGCGACGAUCCGUAACUGGUCUGAGAGGAUGAUCAGUCACACUGGAACUGAGACACGGUCCAGACUCUACGGGAGCAGCAGUGGGAAUAUGACAAU